rnacentral:lncRNA from 1 species
UUCAUUUUCCUUUUUAUUUCUUAUUUCCUGAUGGGUCCUUGGGAUAUUGGUCUAGCCCUUUGUUAUUCACACAUCUCUUUUGUUGCUAUUUCAACUGAGUUUGCACCCCUUAGUUUCUAUUAUAUUUCUUUAUUUCUAUCAUUUAAUUAAUCUAAUUGUCUCGUUUUUCUUUUAAUUUAAUUAUUUAGUGUUAGUUUUCAUUAUAACUUGGUCUUUU